CCCUUAGAUGUGCUGGGCCGCACGCGGGAUACAAUGACCCGUUCAGAAAGUAUAACCUGACCCGGAAGGGAGUGGGUAAUCUUUUUAAUGCGGGUCGUGCUAGGGAUCGAUCUUUGCAAUUAUAGAUCUUGAACGAGGAAUACCUAGUAAGUGCAAGUCAUCAGCUUGUACUGAUUACGUCCCUGGUGUUUGUACUCACCGCCCGUCGCUCCUACCAAUUUCGAAUGAUCCGGUGAACCUUUUGGAUUGGGUGCAAGCCUAAGAAGUUAAGUAAACCUCAUCAUUUAGAGGAAGGAAAAGUCGUAACA
rnacentral:rRNA from 1 species